rnacentral:rRNA from 1 species
UACAGAGGUGUCAAACGUUGUCCGGAAUUACUGGGCGUAAAGGGCGCGUAGGCGGCCUUAUAAGUCAGAUGUGAAAGCUCCGGGCUCAACCCGGGAAUUGCACCUGAUACUGUAAGCUAGAGUUCGGAAGAGGAGAGAGGAAUUCCCAGUGUAGAGGUGAAAUUCGUAGAUAUUGGGAAGAACACCAGUGGCGAAGGCGGCUCUCUGGUCCGAUACUGACGCUGAGGUGCGAAAGCGUGGGGAGCAAACAGGAUUAGAAACCCUGGUAGU